AUGGAUCAUACGUCAACCCCGGAGGAGCAAAAAGCAUUUAUAGCGUCGUGGAUCGCAGUAAGGUCAGUUCCAGUUGUAUAAGGAGUUGAAAGAGAUGUAGAUACCUUUUGGCCAUCGGUUCAUAACCAUUUUGUUACAAACUUUACGAAUCCUAAGCAAAGAACAACAUUUGAUGUAAGACAUCAUGUUAGAAUAAUACUAAGGCAUGUUAGGAUGUAUGCUAUCAUCCAAGCCAAGCUGCUCAGAAGACUCAGAUGUAGUUCUAUUCCAAAUAAUAUCGAACGGAUGACGAAAGUGCGGUUCCGAAAAGAAAAUGAUAUUAAAUUUGAGUUUUAUGAAUGCUACCUUUUGUUGAAGGACGUCGUGGAUGACUUCAACUCGUUGAUAAUAGCAAGGCGCAUGGGGUAAUGUAACAUCACCGUUCUUAUUGGUUUUGUGGGUAUACCUCUUGUAAACCCUCCCGAGAGUCCGCUCGGCCGCUAGGGACACCUACCGGUUUAAAGGAUUGUUGUCUGUUUAUUAUCGUUGAACUUUUAUAUCGUUUCGCCGUACGUGUACUAAUUUCAAAUUAAUGAAGUAAAUCAUAUUAUGUUUCAAAA